UACGAAGGGUGCAAGCGUUAUCCGGAUUCAUUGGGUUUAAAGGGUGCGUAGGUGGGGCGUUAAGUCAGUGGUGAAAGCCUACAGCUCAACUGUAGAAUUGCCAUUGAUACUGGCGCUCUUGAGUGCGCUUGAAGUAGGCGGAAUGUGCCGUGUAGCGGUGAAAUGCUUAGAUAUGGCACAGAACACCAAUUGCGAAGGCAGCUUACUAAGGCGAUACUGACACUGAGGCACGAAAGCGUGGGGAUCGAACAGG
rnacentral:rRNA from 1 species